rnacentral:rRNA from 1 species
CGGGUGAGUAACACGUGGAUAACCUACCUAUAAGACUGGGAUAACUACGGGAAACCGGAGCUAAUACCGGAUAAUAUAUUGAACCGCAUGGUUCAAUAGUGAAAGACGGUUUUGCUGUCACUUAUAGAUGGAUCCGCGCCGCAUUAGCUAGUUGGUAAGGUAACGGCUUACCAAGGCAACGAUGCGUAGCCGACCUGAGAGGGUGAUCGGCCACACUGGAACUGAGACACGGUCCAG